UGCUUGAUCCACACCCCCCUGAAUGCUCCUGAUCUCAUAUGAUUUCAGAAGCCUGCAGGGUUGGGCAUGGCAAGUCCUGGGAUGGGCAA
rnacentral:rRNA from 1 species